AAAACAUUUUUAAAAUUUGUUAAAACCUUAUAUAUUUUUUCCCGAAUCAUUCAAGUGUAAAAACGGAUAAAUUCACAUGAAAAACGAAAAACGAAAAAAUGAUGCAAUGAAAAGUCGAAUAUUUAAAGUCCAUCUGUCUCGUCGUUAAAAUGUCGUGACACGUGGUCGCACCUGGUUGUCGUCGAAAGAGGCAGUCAAAAUGCCAUGUGACUCAACGCACUGACAGGAGGCAGAAAAAGCCUGAGAUCGCAGUAGAUAGAAGCCUGUGAGAAUAAAGAGGAAAGAAGCAUCAAAAAUGCAGGAGAACAUUGUUAAAGAAUAUCCGGCCGAUAUUCGACAUAUGUCCGAAACAUUGGCUCCAGUUCGAACACGAUGGAAUCAUCGAAAUAUUUGAAGGUUUAAAAAACUGGGACAAGAAAGAAUAUUAUUAUUUAUAAUUAAAAGAAAUAACUUCUUACAAAGGAUAAUUAUUAAAAGAUUAUGUGACAACAUUGUCUUGGUAUCUUUCUUAUUGAACAUAUAUAUUAAAACUUCCAUACAUAUUAUAAAAACAUAUUAUUAUCGAAAUUUUGUUUUUCUUGUAAAUGAGACUUUUUACUUAAAGAUAAGAACAGAUUACUGUUUGUAAUAGAUAAAAGUAUUGGAAGCGAAUGUUGAACUUCUGAGAACUUUCAAUCUGAUUGAUAAGAUAAUGAAUGAAGUCUUGAACAAACGAAUGGAACGAACAUCCGCUAAUUCUUUGACAAUAGGAAUACAAAAAUAUAUAUGUCAAUGAAAACAAGGAUCAUGUUUCGUAGAUACUUUAUGGACAUCUUAUAAAACACAUUAUCUAUCAGAUAGCUUAGAGAAUCUUAGAACGAAUAUAAAGAGCUUGAAGAAAUUAUUUGAAAGAGAUUUUUCUGAAAAAUAAGACAUCUAAUUUUUAUUCAUAAGUAUACUUAUUUUUAAAUUUGAGAAAAAUUGGAAAAUUAUUAUAAUUUUUAAAAAAUUAAAAAUAACAUUUUUAUCUUAUCGAAAUUCUAAAAACUUUUUAAUCGUUUUUUAAUUUUCAGAAUUUAAUCAAAUUAUUUGAUUUUAGAUAAAACCGAAUCUCAAUUCUAGUUCAAUAACUUAUAUAUCUAUCGAUUACCAAAAAAUUAUAAUCUCUUCCGUUAAAAACUUUCCAAACGAAAAAAUCUAUGAAUGAUCCAAUCACAUAAUAAUAUAAUAUAAAUCAACAAUUAUUCUAUUUCACACAAAUCUAUAUUGCCAAAGAGGAAACCCGUCUGACUAAUCACAGUGGAAAUAAUCGUUAAAAGAGAAAUUACCAUAUAAAUAUUCCAAGUGACUCAUAAACAUCCUUCGAGUAUGCCACGUUUCACCGUUUCUUCCACCUCCGCCUAUGAAAUACCAAAGGGAUUUCGCAGGUUAACGAGACCAUGAUAAUCUACACGGCGGAAUCGAAUACACUGACCUGAAAAUUAUCAAUGAAUCGUGCGUGGAAACGGGAAUACGUGCGAAUACGAAGAAAUUCUCGGCAGGAGGAAAGAGAAAAAGAAGGGAUCCAAGAAAAGGACGGCAGGGUACAGGUGCCGCGCCCUGUUGAACCUCCAGUUCGACUUCUCACAGUCGAUUAUGUAUUCAUGAGUGUUUGAGAAGGAAGAAAAAGGAAAAAAAACAUAGUAGUCUCGUUCGAUACAAAGGAGAUUCCUUUUUAGGCAAAGAUAUAGAUAAAAGCUACACGACAUCGUUGGAAGUUUGCACUAAGAGAUGCAACACGAAUGAGAAUAGAAUUGUUCUAAUCUAAUUUAAUCUAAUGUUCUAAUCUAAAAAAUUAAAAAAAUUAAUAACACAGAAAAUACAGAAAGAUGUUUUGAAAAAAAAUUAAUUGUAAAAAAAAUUCAUUUAUAUCAUUUAUUGAAUUUAUUAAAUAUUUUAUAUAUUUUCUA